GGAGGAGUGGUCGAGUGGUUGAAGGCGCUGGUCUUGAAAAUCAGAAAAGGUUUAAACCUUUCGUGAGUUCGAAUCUCACCUCCUCCG
rnacentral:tRNA from 1 species